UACGUAGGGACCAAGCGUUGUUCGGAUUUACUGGGCGUAAAGGGCGCGUAGGCGGCGCGGUAAGUCACUUGUGAAAUCUCUGAGCUUAACUCAGAACGGCCAAGUGAUACUGCAGUGCUAGAGUGUGGAAGGGGCAAUCGGAAUUCUUGGUGUAGCGGUGAAAUGCGUAGAUAUCAAGAGGAACACCUGAGGUGAAGACGGGUUGCUGGGCCAACACUGACGCUGAGGCGCGAAAGCUAGGGGAGCAAACGGG
rnacentral:rRNA from 1 species